GGGGGCGUCACGGCUUCGACGGAAGUGUUUGCGGCCAGGAGGCAUGUCGGGGUGCACGCACCCGUGAUCGUGUGCAAAACAAUAUCUGCCAACACGCAGAUGGCUUACGCAGCUUAAUUAAUUAAGUUGCCGUCCUCUCCAGCUUCGCCUACGGGCCGGAGUCAGGGCGUCGCACAGUAGGCUGGAUUGAACGCUACGUCUGGGCGUUCGAUUGAGAUCUUCAGGCUAGCCGAUUGGGUUUCUUGUCCUUUCUAAGCCCAAGACGCGAAGGUGCCGGUUUAUCCCGGCGCAUGGAAUAGGACUACACAUGUAGGCUCCUGACUGACUUCGCUUGCGGACGCGGGUUCAACUCCCGCCGCCUCCACCA
rnacentral:tmRNA from 1 species